UAAGAAAAAGACAAAAACAUCUUUAGUCUAACAUCACUGUAUGCAAAAUUCCCUUUCAGAAACUUACAUGUAAAAUCAAGGUCAGUGUCUUCUACUUUCUUCUGGGGUUGGAUCUCGACUCGACCCUCCUUCACUCCAAUCACCUCUGACACUGGUACUGAAACUAAGAACAACAGACAGACACUUUACACUCUUGCGUAUACUGUGCUUAUUGUCAAGCCUGGCUGGUGCUGUUCAACUUGUUUUGAGGUCAUCAGAAUGCAGACAAAGACAAAUUGCAAGUUUUGUAUAAAACAGGUUCACUUCGCUGUGAGGCUGCGCACCUGUCCUGGAUAUUUGCAUACGCAACUCUGAUUGGAUAAACAUCUGUGAAUAUGCAGACGGAUACAAUAGAUUAGUCUGAACACAUAGGCUAAUAAGAACAUCAGAUGUCAAAAACACAAGUGCCAGGCUUGCUUGACUGCAUCAAGCACACCUUACUCAUCUUCGGACUAUUUUUAUGUUUCUUCUCUUCCUUUAUAUAAACCAGGAAAGCUGACUUUCCUGAAAGACUGCUUAACUCGCCUGCCUGCAAAAGUUCCCUAAAGACUGUAUCUCCAAACAGAAAUUAAACAGUCAUCAAAUUGUAAAAGUUUUACGUGCUAUGUUGGAAUAAAAAUGUUGCAUGCAUCUUUUGUCACUAUUAAUAUUUUUAUUUUUAUAUGAUGAAAUGCCAUUAUGUAUAUUGAUGUAGACCUUAAUUGCAAUGGGAAUCACACAAUAAGAUGUAUACCCUUCCUAAAGAAACCACUUUUUAGUGUUUUCCAGUCUGUUUUGUAAUGUACUUAUCCAGUCUGUUUUGUAAUGACAAGCUUGUACCCUGUGUUUCAAAACAGUUACUUAUAACUUCCAGCAGGUGGAGACAACGGUUUAGAUAUGCAUAUGCAUGGCUUGUAACCAAAUACACCUGAUAUUGGUUUUGUCAAUUUAUUGAGAU